rnacentral:rRNA from 1 species
CCUACGGGUGGCAGCAGUGAGGAAUAUUGGUCAAUGGGCGUAAGCCUGAACCAGCCAAGUCGCGUGAGGGAUGAAGGUUCUAUGGAUCGUAAACCUCUUUUAUAAGGGAAUAAAGUGUGGGACGUGUCCUAUUUUGUAUGUACCUUAUGAAUAAGGAUCGGCUAACUCCGUGCCAGCAGCCGCGGUAAUACGGAGGAUCCGAGCGUUAUCCGGAUUUAUUGGGUUUAAAGGGUGCGUAGGCGGGCUUUUAAGUCAGCGGUGAAAGUUUGUGGCUCAACCAUAGAAUUGCCGUUGAUACUGGUGGGCUUGAGUAUGUUUGAGGCAGGCGGAAUGCGUGGUGUAGCGGUGAAAUGCUUAGAUAUCACGAAGAACCCCGAUUGCGAAGGCAGCCUGCCAAGCUGUGACUGACACUGAUGCACGAAAGCGUGGGGAUCAAACGGGAUUAGAUACCCUUGUAGUC